AGGAAGCACUCCUCGACAUCGCCAGAAGCACGAUUCUCCUCCGAAAAAAAAAACCCUAAUCGAUCGAUCUAGGUUUUCGUCUUUCUUCAUAGGUUUCAAGAUGAGGCCGAUCCUGAUGAAAGGCCAUGAAAGACCUCUAACUUUCCUUAAGUACAACAGAGAAGGGGAUCUGCUCUUCUCCUGCGCUAAGGAUCACAAUCCCACUGUUUGGUUCGCUGAUAAUGGCGAGCGCCUUGGAGUUUACAAGGGCCACAACGGCGCUGUUUGGAGCUGCGACGUUUCUCGUGAUUCUAUGCGCCUGAUUACAGGAAGUGCUGAUCAGACUGCGAAGCUGUGGAAUGUACAAACAGGAGCUCAGCUUUAUACUUUCAACUUUGAUUCUCCAGCUAGAUCGGUGCAAUUCUCUGUUGGGGAUAAGCUUGCUAUUGUAACAACCGAUCCCUUUAUGGGUCAUCCUCCCACUAUUCAAGUGAAACAAAUUGCCAGAGAUCCUAGCGAACAAACUGGGGAAUCUGUGCUCACAAUCAAGGGUCCAGGGAGAAUCACUGGGGCUAUUUGGGGACCUUUAAACAAGACUAUAAUAAGCGGAGGAGAAGAUGGAAUACUCCGUACGUGGGAUACUGAGACUGGGAGCCUUUUGAAGGAGUCGGAUAAGGAAACUGGUCAUCAGAAGAGAAUCACUUCAAUUUCUAAGUCUGCCGAUGGGUCUCAUUUCCUUACAAGUUCUUUGGAUAAAUCUGCUAAGCUUUGGGACACCAGAACAUUGACUCUGUUGAAGACCUAUGUGACAAGUGCUCCAGUGAAUGCUUGCGCAAUAUCUCCGCUUCUCGAUCAUGUUCAUGAACAACCAACUACCGAAGCACAUGUGGUUGCAACUGAGAAAAUCUGUUGAUAUGGAUUGUGCUUUGAACCCUUUACGCGAAGUUCAUAAAGGAAUAUAGUUCAAGUUUCGUUUCCUUUCUAAGUAGUUCAUUCAUACUUUAAAUUGGAAUUACCUCCAUAGUACUUCUUAUCAUGUCAAGUAAGAUGCACCAUUUAAAACAGUCAUCCUUCCCCAUUGGAAUUAUUUAAAAGAUUGUAGCAACUUCACUUAUGCAUUGUUAGUUAGGUACUGUGCAUAUUUUCGAUCAUCUUGUGCAUGUGUGUGUGUGUCAUACGUUUAUUUAAAAGCAAUUUCUUUUUUUUUGUCUUGUUCAUGUUAAUUGCGUAGAAAAAAGUUUUCAGACUUGAUUCUUAUGUAUACUAUUCUGAGAGAUAAUAUCUUUUUAUUCUCAUGAUUGUUGGUGGUUUUAUAACUUGGCAUAUUGCAAUCAUCUCCUGUAUAGUUGUUGUAGUUUUGUAUCUGGUUUCAGGUGGUGAUUGGCGGUGGCCAGGAUGCAGUGAAUGUUACGAUGACUGAUCACCGUGCAGGAAAGUUUGAAG